GACAUGAACCACUGGCUGAGAAACAUCCUGAUUCUGACUCUCUGGCUAGAGUGUAAAGGAGAAGACAGAGUGACCCAGCCAGCAGGAGAUGUCAUUGCUGCUGAAGGAGACACAGUUACACUUGGCUGUACUUUUGAGACGAGUGACCAAUACCCCUACUUGUACUGGUACAAACAAGAAGUAAAUGAGUCUCCUAAGUACAUGCUGAAAAGUUACUCAAAAACAACAGAUUUUGAUGCAGAGUUCACGAAAGACAGAUUUAAUGCUACAAUCAAGGAUAAGUCAGUUCCUCUGAAGAUCCAGAAGCUUCAGCUGUCUGACUCUGCUGUGUACUACUGUGCUCUGCAGC